AAUCCUCAGAAUAAUGGAGGAUUCCUGCGAGAUUUUGUGCUGAUUGCCCACGACAUUAAAAAGAGAGCAUUCUAACCAUUGCCUUUUUGUUGUGAAUGCAGACCAGAGAAGACACUACACAGAGGUCACA